AUCAACCAGGCUGCGGUUUGACUUUGCAGAAACAAUAACUAAUUAACCAAACACAUACUGGUACUGCAUCUAUGCAGGCACAUUUGUACUCAUGCGUGCAAGGACAAACCUAAUACUCAAAUAUAUUAGAGCAACUCCAGCAGAAACCCUAUUCAAAUCCAUACUCAAAAAAUAGGAAUAGAUGGCCAAAAAUUAACUCCAACAAAAUAUCUAUUCCGAUCCCUAGGUCCGUAGAGUAUGGAGGCUCUCAGGUUUUCACCUUCGCCCCUUCUCCCACGGGUGGGAAGGGAGGCCCUGCGCGGUGGUUGCGGCCGUUUUUCACCCGCACGUGCAUGGAAUCCAUUCAAGCUCGUGCUCCGCCGCUGGAUUCCACCGGCCCCCGCUUAAUUCCCC
rnacentral:lncRNA from 1 species